rnacentral:rRNA from 1 species
GUACUGAGACACGGCCCAAACUCCUACGGGAGGCAGCAGUAGGGAAUUUUGCGCAAUGGGGGCAACCCUGACGCAGCAACGCCGCGUGAUUGAUUAAGCCCUUCGGGGUGUAAAGAUCUGUCAGUGGGGACGAAAUAUGACGGUACCCACAGAGGAAGCACCGGCUAACUCCGUGCCAGCAGCCGCGGUAAUACGGAGGGUGCAAGCGUUGUCCGGAAUCAUUGGGCGUAAAGAGUUCGUAGGUGGUUUGUUAAGUUUGGUGUUAAAUGCAGAGGCUCAACUUCUGUUCGGCAUCGGAUACUGGCAGACUAGAAUGCGGUAGAGGUAAAGGGAAUUCCUGGUGUAGCGGUGAAAUGCGUAGAUAUCAGGAGGAACAUCGGUGGCGUAAGCGCUUUACUGGGCCGUAAUUGACACUGAGGAACGAAAGCCGGGGUAGCAAAUGGGAUUAGAUACCCCAGUAGUCCCGGCCGUAAACGAUGGAUACUAGGUGUUGCGGGUAUCGACCCCUGCAGUGCCGCAGCUAACGCGUUAAGUAUCCCGCCUGGGGAGUACGCACGCAAGUGUGAAACUCAAAGGAAUUGACGGGGACCCGCACAAGCGGUGGAACAUGUGGUUUAAUUCGAAGCAACGCGAAGAACCUUACCAGGGCUUGACAUCUAACAAACCUUUGUGAAAGCAGAGGGUGCUCUUCGGAGAAUGUUAAGACAGGUGGUGCACGGUUGUCGUCAGCUCGUGUCGUGAGAUGUUGGGUUAAGUCCCGCAACGAGCGCAA